rnacentral:rRNA from 1 species
GUGGGGAAUAUUGCACAAUGGGCGAAAGCCUGAUGCAGCGACGCCACGUGAGGGAUGACGGCCUUCGGGUUGUAAACCUCUUUCAGCAGGGAAGAAGCGUAAGUGACGGUACCUGCAGAAGAAGCGCCGGCUAACUACGUGCCAGCAGCCGCGGUAAUACGUAGGGCGCAAGCGUUGUCCGGAAUUAUUGGGCGUAAAGAGCUCGUAGGCGGUCUGUCGCGUCUGGUGUGAAAUCCCAUGGCUCAACUGUGGGCUUGCAUCGGGUACGGGCAGACUAGAGUGCUGUAGGGGAGACUGGAAUUCCUGGUGUAGCGGUGGAAUGCGCAGAUAUCAGGAGGAACACCGAUGGCGAAGGCAGGUCUCUGGGCAGUUACUGACGCUGAGGAGCGAAAGCAUGGGGAGCGAACAGGAUUAGAAACCCGAGUAGUCC